AGUGAACGCUGGCGGUAGGCCUAACACAUGCAAGUCGAACGGUAGCACAGUAAGAGCUUGCUCUUACGGGUGGCGAGUGGCGGACGGGUGAGGAAUACAUCGGAAUCUACUUUUUCGUGGGGGAUAACGUAGGGAAACUUACGCUAAUACCGCAUACGACCUACGGGUGAAAGCAGGGGAUCUUCGGACCUUGCGCGAUUGAAUGAGCCGAUGUCGGAUUAGCUAGUUGGCGGGGUAAAGGCCCACCAAGGCGACGAUCCGUAGCUGGUCUGAGAGGAUGAUCAGCCACACUGGAACUGAGACACGGUCCAGCCUCCUACGGGAGGCAGCAGUGGGGAAUAUUGGACAAUGGGCGCAAGCCUGAUCCAGCCAUACCGCGUGGGUGAAGAAGGCCUUCGGGUUGUAAAGCCCUUUUGUUGGGAAAGAAAAGCAGCAGGUUAAUACCCCGCUGUUCUGACGGUACCCAAAGAAUAAGCACCGGCUAACUUCGUG
rnacentral:rRNA from 1 species